CCUACGGGGGGCAGCAGUGAGGAAUAUUGGUCAAUGGACGCAAGUCUGAACCAGCCAAGUAGCGUGCAGGAUGACGGCCCUCCGGGUUGUAAACUGCUUUUAGUUGGGAAUAAAAGGGGGCUCGUGAGCCCCGUAUUGUAUGUACCAUCAGAAAAAGGACCGGCUAAUUCCGUGCCAGCAGCCGCGGUAAUACGGAAGGUCCGGGCGUUAUCCGGAAUGAUUGGGCGUAAAGGGUGUGUAGGCGGCCUGCUAAGUCUGGAGUGAAAGUUACCGGCUCAACCGGUACAGGCUCUGGAAACUGGCGG
rnacentral:rRNA from 1 species